rnacentral:tRNA from 1 species
UCAGUGGCCAACAGUCGCCAGAAUCGUUGAGCUGCAUUGGCGGGAUUUCGCCGUCUACGUUUCUCUUUCUUCGCGGACGAACACGCGCUGGGCCUGCGUCCGCAGGAUCCCUGGUCCUUGACGGGAUAUGCGUUAGGGGCUUGUAGCUCAGUUGGUUAGAGCGCGCGCUUGAUAAGCGUGAGGUCGGAAGUUCAAGUCUUCCCAGGCCCACCAGCCUUCGCGCUUCGCUGCUUCGGCUAGGCAAGCCCUUCGACAAGAAGGCUGCCGCGCCGUAGUCUUGGCGAAGGCGGGCUAAUCAAACGAGCAUUCGUCUUCUGGUUACGGGGCCAUAGCUCAGCUGGGAGAGCGCGUGCUUUGCAAGCAUGAGGUCGUCGGUUCGAUCCCGUCUGGCUCCACCAGAUGGUUUGAUCAUCGGCUGAUCGUGCACCUGAAAUCGUCCGCGAAACAUCACUUCGCAUCCUGCUAGUCUGGAUAGACAGCAGAUUGCGUGAUUUCUGACAUCGUAAAGAGGAGAUCGAUCCGAGUUGGAUCGUGCGGCAAGCAAUUGCCACGCGAGACUUCAUUAUCUCCGGAUCAUUUCGGCGCUCGUGCGUCUUUCAGAGUGGCUCACAAGACUGCGUCUGAGAGGCAAGCGAGUUGUAAAUGAUCCUUUUAGCGAAGCUUGACCGCCUCGCUAUCGGAAC